UCCGUGUUAACCACGGCAGUCUCCUUAGAGAGCCCAACUUAAUGCUGGCAACUAAGGACAAGGGUUGCGCUCGUUGCGGGACUUAACCCAACAUGUCACCACACGAGCUGACGUCAGCCAUGCAGCACCUGUCAUCCGGCUGUAUUGCUACAGAAACCGUAUCUCUACGGCGGUCCGGAGAUGUCAAACCCAGGUAAGGUUCUUCGCGUUGCUUCGAAUUAAACCACAUGAUCCACCGCUUGUGCGGGCCCCCGUCAAUUCCUUUGAGUUUUAGUCUUGCGACCGUACUUCCCAGGCGGAGUGCUAAAUGCGUUAACGACGGCACCGCAGGGGUCAAUACCCGCGACACCUAGCACUCAACGUUUACGGCGUGGACUAC
rnacentral:misc_RNA from 1 species